AGAGUUUGAUCAUGGCUCAGAACGAACGCUGGCGGCAGGCCUAACACAUGCAAGUCGAGCGCUACCUUCGGGUGGAGCGGCGGACGGGUUAGUAACGCGUGGGAAUAUACCCAGUUCUAAGGAAUAGCCACUGGAAACGGUGAGUAAUACCUUAUACGCCCUUCGGGGGAAAGAUUUAUCGGAAUGGGAUUAGCCCGCGUUAGAUUAGAUAGUUGGUGGGGUAAUGGCCUACCAAGUCUACGAUCUAUAGGCUGGUUGGAGAGGAGGAUCAGCAACACUGGGACUGAGACACGGCCCAGACUCCUACGGGGAGGCA
rnacentral:rRNA from 1 species